CAGUAGCCACGGGAAUACGUAGGUGGCAAGCGUUGUCCGGAAUUAUUGGGCGUAAAGGGCUCGCAGGCGGUUUCUUAAGUCUGAUGUGAAAGCCCCCGGCUCAACCGGGGAGGGUCAUUGGAAACUGGGAAACUUGAGUGCAGAAGAGGAGAGUGGAAUUCCACGUGUAGCGGUGAAAUGCGUAGAGAUGUGGAGGAACGCCAGUGGCGAAGGCUACUCUCUGGUCUGUAACUGACGCUGAGGAGCGAAAGCGUGGGGAGCGAACAGGAUUAGAUACCCCUGUAGUCCCUGUCUCUUAUAU
rnacentral:rRNA from 1 species